rnacentral:rRNA from 1 species
UACGUAGGGUGCAAGCGUUGUCCGGAAUUAUUGGGCGUAAAGAGCUCGUAGGCGGUUUGUCGCGUCUGCUGUGAAAACUCGGGGCUUAACCCCGGGCCUGCAGUGGGUACGGGCAGACUAGAGUGCGGUAGGGGAGACUGGAAUUCCUGGUGUAGCGGUGAAAUGCGUAGAUAUUGGGAAGAACAUCAGUGGCGAAAGCGCUCUACUGGACCUUAUCUGACAUUGAGGGACGAAAGCUAGGGGAGCGAAUGGG